rnacentral:rRNA from 1 species
UUAAAGGAUUGACGGGGAGCACUACAACGGGUGGAGCCUGCGGUUUAAUUGGACUCAACGCCGGAAAACUCACCGGGGCGACAGCAAUAUGUAGGUCAAGCUAAAGACUUUACCAGAAUCGCUGAGAGGAGGUGCAUGGCCGUCGUCAGUUCGUACUGUGAAGCAUCCUGUUAAGUCAGGCAACGAGCGAGACCCGUGCCCACUGUUGCCAGCAUGUCCUUCGGGACGAUGGGUACUCUGUGGGGACCGCCGAUGCUAAAUCGGAGGAAGGUGCGGGCUACGGUAGGUCAGUAUGCCCCGAAUCUCCCGGGCUACACGCGGGCUACAAUGACUGGGACAAUGGGCUCCUACCCCGAAAGGGGAUGGUAAUCUCAUAAACCCAGCCGUAGUUCGGAUCGAGGGCUGCAACCCGCCCUCGUGAAGCUGGAAUCCGUAGUAAUCACGUUUCAACAUAGCGCGGUGAAUACGUCCCUGCUCCUU